CUGCCGCGCCGGCUGCGGGAUGCGGCGCUGAGCCUGCCCCGCUGGCGUCUCUGCCCGGCCGCGCUGCGGAGCGAGCGGGCUCCUCCCUGCCCGCCUGCCGCCCGCAGCCCAUGAUGUGCCUGGAGAGCGGCGGCUCCGCGGCCGGCAGCCCGGGCUGCAGCGGGCGGCUCCGAGCCGGCGACGAGGAGGAGGAGGAGGAGGGCGAGCGGGGCUGCUGCGGCCGGAGCGCCGAGGGCGAGGUGCAGACCCUGUCGGGCAGGAUGAACCCCCCGCCCGCGGGCAAGAGCCCCGAGCGCCUGGCCCCCCGCCACAAGCCCCCCAGCCUGGGCAGGGCCCGGGUCGCGGCCGCCGGCAUCCUCAGCGUGGGCAACGUGCUCAACUACCUGGACAGGUACACGGUGGCAGGUGUAUUACUAGACAUCCAGCAGCACUUUGGAGUUAAAGACAGUGGGGCUGGCUUGCUACAGACAGUUUUCAUCUGUAGUUUCAUGGUGGCAGCACCUAUAUUUGGUUACCUUGGUGACCGCUUCAACAGGAAGAUCAUCCUCAGCUGUGGGAUCUUCUUCUGGUCAGCUAUCACCUUUUCAAGCUCCUUCAUCACUGAGCAAUAUUUCUGGCUCCUCGUCCUUUCACGAGGUUUGGUCGGCAUCGGUGAAGCCAGUUAUUCCACCAUCGCUCCCACCAUCAUAGGAGACCUUUUCACCAAAAACACCAGAACCCUCAUGCUGUCUGUCUUCUACUUUGCAAUCCCUCUUGGCAGUGGUUUGGGAUACAUCACUGGAUCAAGCGUGAAGCAAGUAGCAGGAGACUGGCAUUGGGCAUUGCGGGUAUCUCCACUCCUAGGCAUGAUAACGGGGACACUCAUCUUGAUAUUUGUACCUGCUGCUAAAAGAGGCAACGUGGAACAGCUGGGGGGACAGCUGAAGGCUCGGACUUCAUGGCUAAGAGACAUGAAGGCACUGAUCAGAAACCGCAGCUAUGUGUUCUCAUCGCUGGCCACGUCUGCCGUUUCCUUUGCCACAGGGGCACUGGGCAUGUGGAUUCCCCUCUACCUUCACAGGGCACAAGUUGUGCAGAAAACUGUUGAGACUUGCAGUUCGGAGCCCUGCGGCACAAAGGACAGUUUGAUCUUCGGAGCAAUCACGUGCUUCACUGGUUUUCUGGGCGUGAUCACAGGGGCUGGGGCAACCAAAUGGUGCCGGUUAAAAACCCAGCGAGCUGACCCCCUGGUCUGUGCCGUCGGCAUGCUAGGGUCAGCCAUCUUCAUCUGUCUGAUCUUCGUUGCUGCCAAGAGCAGCAUUGUGGGAGCCUAUAUUUGCAUUUUUAUUGGAGAAACUCUUCUGUUUUCAAACUGGGCAAUCACAGCUGACAUACUAAUGUACGUGGUUAUCCCGACACGACGCGCGACCGCUGUGGCCUUGCAGAGCUUCACUUCGCACCUGCUGGGAGAUGCUGGCAGCCCCUACCUGAUUGGAUUCAUCUCAGACCUGAUACGACAAAGCACAAAGGAGUCACCGCUGUGGGAGUUCCUCAGCCUGGGCUACGCACUCAUGCUCUGCCCGUUUGUCGUCGUCCUCGGAGGGAUGUUUUUCCUGGCCACGGCCCUCUUCUUUCUAAAUGACCGCACCAAAGCUGAACAACAUAAGGAAACCGAUUCAGAUCACUGUUGGCAACUACAGUAACUCAGAAGACGCUUCCACAUGACACACGGUUUUGGGGGUGAAUCAACUGAUGAUGCCACCAGCCACUGUGAAAGUCUGAGACGUUGCCAUUAUGGAUGAUGAAGGAAACGCUGCGUGGACUCCAGCUCCCACAACCACCACUCCAACCUCCUGCUAGGAAACCCCAGCACUGGACACAACCAAAAGUUCCAGCUCCGGGAUGCAUUUGGAGUCUUAUCGAGUGCUAAACCAAUCACUUCACUCUAACCAGCUGCAGGAUCAGGGUCAAAGACAUGAAUGAGGAUGGCCUAGAUAUCAGGGGUCCUAAGCCUAAGGAUAUUGUAGGGUUUCCCCACAUUGCUGGCUGUCAACAGCGAGUGUCCGAAGAGCCCACAACCACGCUACCCCUGUGAGUGACUGUACAUUGUGUAUACAGUUUUAGGUUUAGGCAGUGAAGAAGUCUGUGUUGCACACAGGGCAUCUUCCGUCCUAUUAAAUGCUACCAGUUCUGUCAGCCAGAGACUAUGCUAGAUGGGGACCUUUUCUGUACAUCACAGCUUUACAAAUUGAAGGCUCAAGCCAGAUUUUUCAUUAUUAUUUAAACAAGUCAGAGGAUGCUUUAUGUUCAUAAAAUAGAGAUUUGAUAGAGUUGUAUUUAAACUGUGAGCAUCUCGAAAGGCCCAUGCACCUGUACUGGAUGUGAAAGCUUCCACUGUAUUGCAGCAUCUGUCCCCAAGAGGGCUCCAAGGAACAUUCAGAAAGGAUGGCACAGAUGUUCAAGCAACAGCAUCCUGCUUAAGGAAGUACCGGAGGAGCUAGCAUGGAGAUCUGUCUCUUAUUCCUGAUCAGCUGGAAGGAGGAGAAAUCUCUCCCAGCACAAGGUGUUCUUUGGGAUUGUUACAGAUGAGCUAGGAAAAGCACGGUCAGUGAUAUCUGGUGGCUUCCAGUUUUGUUUAACAUACUUAGUUUCAGUUCCAGGUAGAAGGUGGUUUACAGAAUACCAAAAUCCAGAGAUUAAUUGCUUUGUGGAAUCUGGUAUUGCUGCCCUUAUGUGCCACUGAUGAGCCGUCUUUGUUUACAUGCAUAUAAUGUUCAUCAUUAAGCAUGUUGCAAAUAUGAAUAAUUUUUUCCAGUAUUUUCAGGCACAUUUAUGAUGUCAAAGCUUUGUUUCGAUCCAGCAACUGCAUUGAAAGAAGAAUUUUUAGAUUCAAUGCACACCCCGUUCCCCCUCCCCACCGUUCUACUGUUCUGGUUUGCUCCCUCCCAUGGGAGUGACUAUAUUACUUAAGUUCACUUUGAUCUUUACAGAAAUGCUACUGGGAUUUUCUUUUUAAUACACUGGUCUAAACUGAGUUAGUAAGAAGUGAGCCUUUCUUAGCUGAUUUUGAUGAACAAAGGGGUCUUGUUUCUUGCAGUUGACAUUCAAGGAUAAAAUGUACACGAUGCCAGCAUGGAUUGUAGUACAGCUGUGAGAGCAAUGAAGUGCUAACAGCUCCAGAAAAAAUGUCCGCUUGCCCACUCACCUUAUUUUCCUGCUUGGGAGAAAACUCUGUUAGGCCUCCACAUCAUUGUAGGCCUCAGACCUUCUCAACCAGUCCAGCAGAACACACUUCCUUCAAACUGUGGCCAGGGCUGGAUUGGAAACAAUACUAAAUUAGCAAAGGCAUUACCAACACUGGGAUAGUUUUAAUAAUAGCAUAAACUCAUCAGUGUUUUUGAGAUCAUGGAGCCAUUGAUUAAUUGGCUAAUGUCUCCAUCCUUUCAAGCAGUGCUGGAGUGACUGCAUAUCUGCAUUAAAUAAUCAGAGUCCACCCCAAUUUAAAAUGCUUCAGGUCUUUUCACUUUCACACUCGACAUUGAAGGGAGGCAGCUGUGAUCUGCAGUGAAAACACAAGAGAGGGCAGAUACUUCCAGUUACCAGCAGUGUGGUCAAACCAGACAGACCAGAAAUAUCUGUUGUUAAUCCCCUUGGAAUUAAGGAGACCAGCUCUUAACUGUAGUUGGGGCUAGGAGGUGGUUUAUCUGGGAUAACCUACCGGAGGAAUGAGAGCAAUACAAGCCUUCACGCUGGCGAACAGUAAUGCUAGAGAAACUAGCAUUGCCUAGAUUACCUUAAAUGGAGAGGUUAGUGACCCUACAUGUUUUCUAAAACAAAUCUCACAAGAUGUUGUUUUAAUUUCUUCUAAACUGUGGAAAUAAGGAUUAAAGGGCUGUUAUGGAAGUGCCCUAUAGAAUUCUGCAAAGGCUUCUUUUCACUAAACUACUCUUAAAGGGUGGUUUUGUUUUGGUUUUUUUUAAAGUAGUUCUUAUAGGCUGAGCAACCAAUUGGAGACAGAAGCCCCACCCCCAGGAGAACAGUGAAUGCGCUUCUGUGUCACUAAAAUAAUAAGCAAAGCAAGUUCAGAACAAUGCUUCAUUUCCCAUCUCAUACUGUUAUUAACAUUACUUGGAGAAAAUGUCAACUCUGCAGUCUGGCAGCCAAAGGCCUGAGUUAGAAGCACAUGAAUUUUUUGUGCUUCUCAUUAAGAUGUUCUCCGUUAAUUUAUGUAAAACAUAAACAACAAUUAGUCACUUGAUCUCAGAGGCUAAGGGAAAAUUAGCUGAAUUUCCUAAAUUAUUAUUUGAAGUACUUUGUCUUAGAAGUUACCGCACUUACUCUCAAGAGCAGAACUUUGGCAUUUACUGAGAUUUUAUUCCCAUAAAUUUGCAAUGGAAAGAGCCGAUAAAUACCCCUUCAUUUGACAGCAUUUUCUAUUUUACAACAACUUCAUCUCCUUGGUGGGAAGGGCUGACCUCACUUCCUAUGAAAAAAGGCCCAGUUCAGCCAUGGAUAGGCAAAUGGAGAAUUAGUUCCAGUCCCCACACACCAAUGACCCUUCACUGAUUGAUUUCUUCUCCAUUUGGAGGAGGUAGAGUAGCCAGCCAUGAGAACUAAGGGAGGGGAAGGAGCAGGGAAUUUGGAACCCCCAUCCUGAGGCUGCCACUUCCCCGUGACAGACCAUGAUCCAUGUUCAGCCACCCGAAGAGAUGAAGGUAUUUUUUUAAGUUGUAGCUACAUAUUUCUAUUCCGAGAUGGAAUUUUUCAAGGGUUGUUCUAUUAGAGCUUCUAUUAAAUAUUUAUUCUCUUAGAAAGAAACCGGAUAAUUGGGAUAAAAGGGGUAAGACAAUAACAAAGCUAUAAGUCAAGUCAAGCUUUCCAACCACUCUCAGAAGAGAGAUUUGAAAAACACUACUAAGAGGUGGUGGCCGGGUACAACCUACCUUCUGCUGUAACAUUCUGGGUGUCUGCUAGUGCCCACUCCCUCUGGUGAGGCUGCAUAUUCCUGUUGACAGGAAGAGUGAGGUUCCAGGCCCAGCUCUGCCACUUGGACUGCAGGCAAGUCACUACGUCUCUGCUUGUUUCUUCAGCUGUAAAAUGGAGAGACUUGACCUGUGAGGCACUGUCUCAAUGAAGUAUGCUCUUCCCUACCACCCUCUCGAACAUCCAAUUCCAGUAUUCUGGUGCAGCGUGCCAAACGCUAGUGUUACUCUGUAGUACUAGGGUAGGGUCCCUAGUAGUUAGUUUUGACAAAGCUAUUAUGAGUUUUACCCACAGAAGUGCUUCAGGAAAAGUCAUCUAGAAACAGAGAAUGUGGUGAAUGUUGUUUUGCACCACAAUCCAGAUUGUUUAAUAGGAUCUUGUCACUUAACAGCUAGAACCACGGGCUUAUUAUUUAAUAUACACAGCAGAAGUGUCUUGUGGGUAUCUGCACUUGCUGGCGUAAUGGGGAGAGGGAGGAUAUGAAGGUAGAAUUAGAGUGAAGCUGGUGGAAGGAGAGACCAUUUCAUUUCUGUAUUUAGGCCACAAAAUGUAGGAUUGUAGAGCUAUCAACUCCACUUGAAAACACACCUCAGUGUAAUUGUUAGAGGGGCCACAAUUAAAGAUCUACCUUAAGAGACUUCAUCUAUUAGCACCCAUCACAAAAGAGAAGCAAGGCUUGGGUUGAUUAUUUGUAAGCAAAAUGUGGUUCAGUGCAUUAGACUUAAGUCUUUAAUUUAAAUGCUCCUGGGAGCAUCUGUAAGGCUACUGUCCUCUUACCUUCUCUGCCCCCCCCCCCACCACCACCACCAAAAAAAACCCAAACAAACUGCAUUGUUGAUAACUAGUGAAUAGUCUAGUAAAACCUUAGAGCAGUUAAAACAGUCUGAAUGGAAGGGGGGGUUGGUGAACUUUCCCCCUCUUUCCCGUAUGCACAGAGCACCUGAGGUGAGGUGAUCAAUGCUAGGGGCAAGCAUACACUGUGUACCUUUUGUCCAGGUUUAGCCCACGCUACUGUUAAGUCCAUCCUUCUCCCUCAGUGCUCCUCAGAAAUCCCUAAUUUCACCUUCUUUCAGCACCUGUGAUGUUUUGCUGCAAGACACCUGCUCCCUUAGUGCAAUAGUCUGUGGUUACCCUGGUAUAUUAAGUGUAAUGGCACUCUGCAUAAAUGGGUAGGGUAAAGUUUACAGAGAGCUGGGGAGGCUGCAGGGUGCCUUCAGCAAAACCAGAUUGUUACAGCAGAUUGCAAGAGUUUCCUUAUACAUCACUUCAUCUUAAAAGCAUUUACCUUGUGCCACUGCAACACCAAAUAAGUAUUCACAUCCUGCAGCCUUUACUCUCAUAGCUGAGGGUUUGGUAAAAUCUACAGGACUGCUUACCUGAGUGAAGCUUGAAGUACUGGGCCAGCAUCCUCUAAUCUCAGUCAAACCUCAGAGUGAGACAAACUAGUGAUGGAGACAUAAACAAACUCUAUGUAGACUGGAAUGCUAAGGUUGUCUCACUUUCCCCCACAUCCUAGUUAUUUGGUUUCUUCUCUAUUUGCUUUAUUGUUUUGUAAACCAGCACUUGCAAUCACUUUUACUAUGUGAGGUAUGGGAGUAUAUUGUACAUUUUCUUGUUAUACAAGGGAGGAGUAUAAAAUAGUUUUCUGAUUUCUUUCAGAAGCAAAUGGCUAUUUUAUUUUUUAAGAGCAACUGAUUGUCAGUCUCAGAGUAUAAAGAAAAAUAAAGCCAAAUAUAUACCUUUAUGUAAAUUAAGAAAUAAAAGUAUUUAAAACAUA